AGAAAAAGAAAUAACUCUCCUCUUUGGUUUUGGUUCUUCUAAAAUGUAGAGAGGCUUGUCUUUGCAAAAAAUAUUCCCAUACUUUCUUUUGCCAUUUGACUUAGUAUUUUGAAGUAGUAUUAGGCACAAUAUUGAGAUUGGUCUGCUUUUGAACAGUCAUCCACCAUCUCUUCUCUUGCAAACGUUUUAUUAGAAAGGAUUUUGUCAUCCUAUACAACAGCAACUUGGUUGAAAAUUGACUGAUGGAAUAAUCCUUUUCUUCCUCUCCAUACUUCUUUGCCUUUAUAUUAUAUAAGAGAGCCCAGUCUUCCAGAAGGGUACUUCUCUUAUCUCUAGCUUUGUAGAAUAUGUUUAGUUAUACAUAAGAGGCACUAACACCCGUCUAAAAAUUCUCAUUUAUGAUCUGUGCUUGUAGAGGUCUCAUUACAGAAAACAUCUCUUCUCUGAGAGUAAUCAAGAUUCAAGUGCCAGUGAACUGUCUUGGACCAGUAAUCAAAACCAAAAAAGGAAAUCCCUAAAAUCAUAUUCUGGUAGAAAGAAGACAAGAACCAGAAGUAAUUUGCGAAUCUUGCCAGUUUUCCCUCCCAGUAGUGGCAGUGGCCAUGAGAAAGAGCAAGCUAAGCUUCUAUCACCAUCACAGAAAGACAAACCCAAGCAAAAUAACACCACAUCUCCAAAGACUUCUGAAGAAAAAUUCCAAGAUAGUUUUGCUUUUUUGACUGCUGAAGAUUCU
rnacentral:sRNA from 1 species